UUCUUUGCAGAAGAUCUCUGGCUGCUGCGAAGCACGUCAGAUCUAGGACGAAUUUUGGAUCUGGUUAUGGAGGAGCUUCAUGCUUGCAAAGGAGAAAUGUUCGAGGCCUUAGACAUACAACUGAUUGGAAGAUACAGCAUCUCCAGCCAUUACUUCAACCUGGAGUGAUGGGUCUGGGCUAAUUCAAAUACAGAAGACACUGAAAGUGAACAGCCACAAAGGAAAACAAGAUCAGUCUGGUUUUACAGUGAAGGAAGUACUCCAAGAGGAAAAAAAUGAGGGACUUCAUUCUUGAUUUAUUCUCACGGUUUCUCAGUAUAUUAUUAAACUGUGGGGGAAGAUGUAACUGAACGAAUAACCAAAGAGCUUGAUUGACCUUAUCACUGUGAUGUCUUGGGAAACUGAAAUGUAAGACAAAGAGCAAACGGCAUCUAAGUGUAAACAGGAGGUUCUUUCAUACGAAUUGUUAAUCUUGUCAUUCUUGAGAAGCCUUUCAUCCUUUAUCACUGUUGUUUUGGAGAAGUUGGGGCCAGUUAACUCAUUAGAAGAACUGUUAGAGGAACAGGAACUUCUUGCUUGUUAGUGGAUGAUAGAUAAAAUGUAUGUUGAACAGUAUAACAAUUCUGAUGCGUACAAGAAACUGAGAGAACUCUCUAAGUCGACUGAGUGCCAACAUUAAAUAAGUGAUCUUUUUCAAAUAUGCCUGUAUUAGUGAAGCAGCACCAAAGCCCAUUUACUGUCCCUGAAUCUGUUUAAGUCUAGCUUGAUCCCUACAGAUUGUAUGAGAGAUCAUAGAAUCAUAGAACUUCUC